rnacentral:rRNA from 1 species
CCUACGGGAGGCAGCAGUGAGGAAUAUUGGUCAAUGGGCGCGAGCCUGAACCAGCCAAGUAGCGUGAAGGAUGACUGCCCUACGGGUUGUAAACUUCUUUUAUAAAGGAAUAUAGUGAGGCACGUGUGCCUUUUUGUAUGUACUUUAUGAAUAAGGCUCGGCUAACUCUGUGCAAGCAGCCGCGGUAAUACGGAGGAUCCGAGCGUUAUCCGGAUUUUUUGGGUAUAAAGGGAGCGUAGAUGGGUUGUUAAGUCAGUUGUGAAAGUUUGCGGCUCAACAGUAAAAUUGCAAUUGAUACUGGCAGCCUUGAGUACAGUUGAGGUAGGCGGAAUUCGUGGUGUAGCGGUGAAAUGCUUAGAUAUCACGAAGAACUCCGAUUGCGAAGGCAGCCUACUAAACUGCCACUGACAUUGAUGCUCGAAAGUGUAGGUAUCAAACAGGAUUAGAUACCCUUGUAGUC